UGGCGGACGGGUGAGUAACGCGUGGGUAACCUGCCCUGUACAGGGGGAUAACAGUUGGAAACGGCUGCUAAAACCGCAUAACAUGGAGAUACCGCAUGAUAUUUCCAUCAAAUAUUUAUAGGUACAGGAUGGGCCCGCGUCUGAUUAGCCAGUUGGCAGGGUAAUGGCCUACCAAAGCGACGAUCAGUAGCCGGCUUGAGAGAGUGACCGGCCACAUUGGGACUGAGACACGGCCCAAACUCCUACGGAAGGCAGCAG
rnacentral:rRNA from 1 species